rnacentral:tRNA from 1 species
GAGAGAGAAGUAUAUAGGAGAUGCGUCUUGUUUGAAACUGGAAUAAGGUGGUUCGAUUCCCCCCUCUCUUG